CUAGCUCAAGAAUGUAGAAUCCAGAAAUGACAAUGGCAAAUAAUCUCACCCCUGUUCUUAUGAACCUUUGAAGUUGAGGUUUAACUGGACCUCAAGCCAUUCUUCUCACUGCCCAUCCUCCUAAGUAUGAUGUAUGCCCUGAAGAAAUAAUCACUGUAAAAUAUCCAAAAUCAUCAAGAUUGACACUGUGAACACAGAUGUUUAAGUGCUGAGGAGAAAGAGAAGACACACAGAAGGACUGAGAGAGAAGGACUGAACUGGAAGGACAGAGACAGAUGGACUGAGCUGGAGAUGGGCAGAGCUGAAAAGUCAGCUUUGAGCUUCUUUUGUUGGAGUGAAGAUCACAUGAUUUGAACUAAUUUUGUGAGAAAUGCCACCUACUCUCAGAAGAUAAGGAACAGAAAAAGAUAAGGAAAACAUAAGGUAAGGAACAAUGAACUGGGAGAGAGUAUUCUAUGGAAUAUAUAGAACAAUAAUUUUGACCUGUCUGUUACUGGUUAGCUGCGGACUUCAUUACGCAUAUCUAUGUACUUAAAAAUGUUUUCUUUUCCUUCUUAAAUUUGUAUGGUUGCUCUGAAA